UUUCCGUAGAGGGUUUGGACUGUACUACUAACAAAAUAAUUCCGCUUCAGGCAGGUGGUGCAAGGAGAUUUUGCCUAUUUUUCUCUAUCCCUAUUUAUGAGAAAGCAUGAGUUUGCUCAUAGGUGCGCACUGUAACUAAAAAGGAGAAGUUUACCACCAGUGAUGUGAAUCUCAGAGGAGCCCUUUAGGAUACACUGAGUGAGACCAUUGUCCUUCAAAAUUUUCUGGAGAUGAAGUCUUCUGGAGGAAAGCUCUGGGAAAUGUCUAUCCUUCCUGAAUGAGUACUGGCUCCACCUUCGGCUUUCAGCAGUCUGUCAGCCUGUUUGUGGGAAACAAAAAGGAAUCCUUGUGUUUGGCCGGAUACCCAGCACCUGCGGAACACAUAUCUACAGCAAAUAUUGUGCUUUGUUUAACU
ensembl:lncRNA